CUACGGGUGGCAGCAGUGAGGAAUAUUGGUCAAUGGGCGAGAGCCUGAACCAGCCAAGUCGCGUGAAGGAUGAAGGUCCUAUGGAUUGUAAACUUCUUUUAUACGGGAAUAAAAAGGGUCACGCGUGACCUGUUGCAUGUACCGUAUGAAUAAGGAUCGGCUAACUCCGUGCCAGCAGCCGGCGGUAAUACGGAGGAUCCGAGCGUUAUCCGGAUUUAUUGGGUUUAAAGGGUGCGUAGGCGGUCUCUUAAGUCAGCGUUGAAAGUUUGCGGCUCAACCGUGAAAUUGGCAUUGAAACUGGGAGACUUGAGUGUAAAUGAAGUGUGCGGAAUUCGUCGUGUAGCGGUGAAAUGCAUAGAUAUGACGAAGAACUCCGAUUGCGAAGGCAGCACACUAACAUACAACUGACGCUGAGGCACGAAAGCGUGGGGAUCGAACAGGAUUAGAUACCCCUGUAGUC
rnacentral:rRNA from 1 species